GUGCUUGCUUCGGCAGCACAUGUACUAGAAUCGGAACGAUACAGAGACAAUCAGCAAGGCCCCUGCGCUAGGAUGACACACAAAUUCGUGAAGCAGUCUGUAUUUUU